GGCCCGAUGCCACGUCUCCGAUAGCUUCUAGCAUUGACCGGAGAUGCUACAUUGGGCCGAGAAAGAGUUGCAAGACGUUUCACAUUUUGAUAGGAACCUGUGGCUGUUAUUCAGUCGGUACACAGAGCCGGUUGUUGUGAUUAUAUUU
rfam:Brachypodium distachyon strain Bd21 chromosome 3, whole genome shotgun sequence.